AACACAUGCAAGUCAAGGGGCCAGCAAUGGCACCGGCGGACGGGUGAGUAACGCGUACACAACGUACCUUUAACUGGGGGAUAGCAUCUGGAAACGGGUGGUAAUACCGCAUGUGGUUGCGGGGAGGCAUCUCCUUGUAACUAAAACUUUGGUGGUUAGAGAUCGGUGUGCGUCUGAUUAGCUAGUUGGUAGGGUAGAGGCCUACCAAGGCGACGAUCAGUAGGGGGCGUGAGAGCGUGAACCCCCACACGGGUACUGAGACACGGACCCGACUCCUACGGGAGGCAGCAGUAAGGAAUAUUGGUCAAUGGAGGGAACUCUGAACCAGCCAUGCCGCGUGAAGGAAGAAGGCGCUACGCGUUGUAAACUUCUUUCGGGUGGGACGAAAAUAAUCCAUUUAUGGAUAGCUGACGGUACCAUCAGAAUAAGCACCGGCUAACUCCGUGCCAGCAGCCGCGGUAAUACGGAGGGUGCGAGCGUUAUCCGGAAUCACUGGGUUUAAAGGGUGCGUAGGUGGCUUAAUAAGUCAGCUGUGAAAUGUCUGGGCUUAACCGAGGCAUUGCGGUUGAUACUGUUAGGCUUGAAUCAAGUUGAGGUGGCUAGAAUGUGACAUGUAGCGGUGAAAUGCAUAGAUAUGUCAUAGAAUACCAAUUGCGAAGGCAGGUUGCUAGACUU
rnacentral:rRNA from 1 species